UAGCUGGGCGGAGCCCGGCACCCGUUCCCAACGGGUGGCCGGGUGACACGCUUAUAUAGGAUUUGUACUGCUGCACUGAGGAGUGCAGCCCAAUCAGAUUGCAGUAUUGCAAGUGGUUGGUUAACACCCACUUAGCUAGGUGGGUGUGCAGCUGGGCGGAGCUGCCUUGAGCAAAAUGAAGAAAGUUACACAAGCUGUCACAGAAGCUGCUAACGAGCUUAGAAGUAGUCACUUCUUUUCUGAGAGGCAGAGAUGUCUUUGCUGUUACAGUAUUGCCUACUGGAUUUUGGAAAGAGCCUUUGCUAUGCUUGUUUGCCUGCAGUAUUUGACAAAAUAUUGGAGAAGGAGAAAGGUCAUUCUUGUAGUAGUAGUCACUCCUCUGCUGGCCAUCAUUCAUGAUCAGGUAGCCAUCUAUUGUUCUAAAGGCAUCUCUAGCACAUAUGUCUCGGGCGAGAUGUCUGAUGCAGCUACAAUGGAUGCGAUCUUCCACGGAAAGUAUCAGCUAGUAUUCUUUACACCUGAAAUGAUCAUCAGCAAAAAGCAUUGGAGAAGACUUCUGGGGGGAGAUGUGUAUGCUAAUAGACUCAAGGCUUUGAUAAUCGAUGAAGCUCAUUGUGUGAAGAAAUGGGGUGAGACUUUCAGGCAAAUGCUGUUGAGAAUUAGAGAAGUGCGCAGCCUCAUUCCAACAUCAGUUCAUGUGAUGG